rnacentral:rRNA from 1 species
CCAGACCGCCAGCUAAGGUCCCAAAGUCAUGGUUAAGUGGGAAACGAUGUGGGAAGGCCCAGACAGCCAGGAUGUUGGCUUAGAAGCAGCCAUCAUUUAAAGAAAGCGUAAUAGCUCACUGGUCGAGUCGGCCUGCGCGGAAGAUGUAACGGGGCUAAACCAUGCACCGAAGCUGCGGCAGCGACGCUUAUGCGUUGUUGGGUAGGGGAGCGUUCUGUAAGCCUGUGAAGGUGUGCUGUGAGGCAUGCUGGAGGUAUCAGAAGUGCGAAUGCUGACAUAAGUAACGAUAAAGCGGGUGAAAAGCCCGCUCGCCGGAAGACCAAGGGUUCCUGUCCAACGUUAAUCGGGGCAGGGUGAGUCGACCCCUAAGGCGAGGCCGAAAGGCGUAGUCGAUGGGAAACAGGUUAAUAUUCCUGUACUUGGUGUUACUGCGAAGGGGGGACGGAGAAGGCUAUGUUGGCCGGGCGACGGUUGUCCCGGUUUAAGCGUGUAGGCUGGUUUUCCAGGCAAAUCCGGAAAAUCAAGGCUGAGGCGUGAUGACGAGGCACUACGGUGCUGAAGCAACAAAUGCCCUGCUUCCAGGAAAAGCCUCUAAGCAUCAGGUAACAUCAAAUCGUACCCCAAACCGACACAGGUGGUCAGGUAGAGAAUACCAAGGCGCUUGAGAGAACUCGGGUGAAGGAACUAGGCAAAAUGGUGCCGUAACUUCGGGAGAAGGCACGCUGAUAUGUAGGUGAAGCGACUUGCUCGUGGAGCUGAAAUCAGUCGAAGAUACCAGCUGGCUGCAACUGUUUAUUAAAAACACAGCACUGUGCAAACACGAAAGUGGACGUAUACGGUGUGACGCCUGCCCGGUGCCGGAAGGUUAAUUGAUGGGGUCAGCGCAAGCGAAGCUCUUGAUCGAAGCCCCGGUAAACGGCGGCCGUAACUAUAACGGUCCUAAGGUAGCGAAAUUCCUUGUCGGGUAAGUUCCGACCUGCACGAAUGGCGUAAUGAUGGCCAGGCUGUCUCCACCCGAGACUCAGUGAAAUUGAACUCGCUGUGAAGAUGCAGUGUACCCGCGGCAAGACGGAAAGACCCCGUGAACCUUUACUAUAGCUUGACACUGAACAUUGAGCCUUGAUGUGUAGGAUAGGUGGGAGGCUUAGAAGUGUGGACGCCAGUCUGCAUGGAGCCGACCUUGAAAUACCACCCUUUAAUGUUUGAUGUUCUAACGUUGACCCGUAAUCCGGGUUGCGGACAGUGUCUGGUGGGUAGUUUGACUGGGGCGGUCUCCUCCUAAAGAGUAACGGAGGAGCACGAAGGUUGGCUAAUCCUGGUCGGACAUCAGGAGGUUAGUGCAAUGGCAUAAGCCAGCUUGACUGCGAGCGUGACGGCGCGAGCAGGUGCGAAAGCAGGUCAUAGUGAUCCGGUGGUUCUGAAUGGAAGGGCCAUCGCUCAACGGAUAAAAGGUACUCCGGGGAUAACAGGCUGAUACCGCCCAAGAGUUCAUAUCGACGGCGGUGUUUGGCACCUCGAUGUCGGCUCAUCACAUCCUGGGGCUGAAGUAGGUCCCAAGGGUAUGGCUGUUCGCCAUUUAAAGUGGUACGCGAGCUGGGUUUAGAACGUCGUGAGACAGUUCGGUCCCUAUCUGCCGUGGGCGCUGGAGAACUGAGGGGGGCUGCUCCUAGUACGAGAGGACCGGAGUGGACGCAUCACUGGUGUUCGGGUUGUCAUGCCAAUGGCACUGCCCGGUAGCUAAAUGCGGAAGAGAUAAGUGCUGAAAGCAUCUAAGCACGAAACUUGCC